GCCCGCUCAAGAAACUCAAAGGAAUUGACGGGGCCGCACAAGCGGUGGAGUAUGUGGUUUAAUUCGAUGCAACGCGAAGAACCUUACCUGGUCUUGACAUCCCGGAGACCCUUAGGAAACUAGGGGGUGCUUCCAUCUGGAAGAAUCUGGAGACAGGUGCUGCAUGGCUGUCGUCAGCUCGUGUCGUGAGAUGUUGGGUUAAGUCCCGCAACGAGCGCAACCCUUGCCUUUAGUUGCCAGCAGUUCGGCUGGGCACUCUAAAGGGACUGCCGGUGUUAAACCGGAGGAAGGUGGGGAUGACGUCAAGUCCUCAUGGCCUUUAUGACCAGGGCUACACACGUACUACAAUGGCCGAUACAAAGGGCAGCGACACUGCGAGGUGAAGCCAAUCCCGUAAAAUCGGUCUCAGUCCGGAUUGGAGUCUGCAACUCGACUCCAUGAAGUUGGAAUCGCUAGUAAUCGUGGAUCAGCAUGCCACGGUGAAUACGUUCCCGGGCCUU
rnacentral:rRNA from 1 species